rnacentral:lncRNA from 1 species
AUUUUGUUAGAUUAUAUUUUUGUUUACAGAAAAAGAUCCGAAAAUUUGUGCUUUGGAAUUUUCUUUUUCUUUUUUUUUUUUCAUUUUACUACUCAAAUCUCUUUGGCUUCGUGCUUGUGGUCUGUUGCGGUUCUCAAUUUUGGUAGGUGAUCAUGGUUAAUUCGUUUGCUACUCCGUUUGUGUAAGUAACGUUUUUCAUUCUUUCAUUUUCUGCACUUUUGUCGAAGGUUCGAUUGGUGUUUGGGGGUUUGGAGUUAUAAGAAUGUACCGUUAAAUUUUGGUUGUGUGUAGAGGUAUUCAUGAGUUGGGCCGGGUCGGAUUUGGGUUGGGUUCAAUUAAAAAUUAAAGUCUAUUUAUUGGGCUCGGGCCAGGUCGGAUUCAAAAAAUGGGUCUAAAAUUUUGCCCAAGCCCGACCCAAAUUUGACCCGACCCAGCCCGUAUUAAUUUUUUAUAUAAUUUUUAAAUAUAUAAAUACUAAAAAAAUCAAAAUAAAUAUUUUUUAAUAAAUUAAAAAUAAAUUUUAAAAAAUAUGUAAAUUUAAAUAGUACUAAGAUAGAUGCAACUUAAUAAGCAAAUACAUUUAAAAUAAUAACAAAAUUAACAAUAAAAUAAUUUUUAUACAAUAUCCAAACAAUAACAACAAAAUAGUAGCAACAUAAUAGUAAUAUGGUUGCAAAAUAAGGAGAAAACAACAAGAAAAUAACAUUCGAAAAAAAAAAGUAGAUUUUUUUGUCAUUUAGUAAAUUUGGGUCUGGCCAAAAUACUUUACCUGAGGCUCGACUCGGCUCAUUUUUUAAACUGGCCUUAUUUUUUUGUCUAAGCCCAUUUUUCAGGCCUAUAUUUUUGUCCAAACCCUCCCAUAUUUUGGGCGACAUCUCUAACCAUCUCUAACCACUAUCUCCCAUAUUUCGCUACACACCAUCUCUAGCCAUCCCAACACACCAUAUGGGGUUUAAAACACCCAUCCAAUCCUACACACAUAAUUAAAUUAAACCUAAUACGUUAUAGGAGAAGAUAGAGGAUGAUUGGGUUUUCCUUUGGCGACUUAAUUCGUGUGUGUGACUGUUGUUCGUUCUGUGGUAAUGUUUUAUUACGUUCUUGAAUUUUAAGUGGUUCAUUUGGUAUUGUUUUUAGGGAGUAAUCGAGAGUUUGUAUUGUUAAUUCACUCGUGUACGUCGUUGAUUUGGGUUCAAAUGGAUACGUAUAGGUUUGAAAAGUCUCGUGGGUGUUUUCGCAUCAGAGUCAGUUAAGGUAUGUAACGAGACACUCGAAAGUCAGCGAAUGGCGAAAGUCGAAAAACAACAUUGUCCACACCACAUAGUUAUGUGCCAGGCCGUGUGCUGGACCAUGUGUGACACACGAUCUGGGCCAUUUGGGUCAUGUGGGCCACACGGGCUAGCCAUUUGGGUCGUGUGGGCCCAAAAUUUAGAAUUUUUUCCUAGGGCCAUACACGCCGUCUCGAUAGACCGCGGGUCUUCUGCAGGGCCGGUAUGUGAUUAAAAUAUACCAUAAAACAUGAAAAUUGGUCAUUUGUUAGUAUAAUUUCUAUUAUCUAUAAGUGUAUUUAGG